GGCCGCCUGGCGAAAUGGCAUCGCGUCUGACUACGACGAGUAAUCAGGAGAUUGCAGGUUCGACCCCUGCGGUGGUCA